AGUGGCGGACGGGUGAGUAACGCGUGAGAAUCUGCCUUGGGGUCGGGGACAACCACUGGAAACGGUGGCUAAUACCGGAUAAGCCGAUUGGUGAAAGAUUUAUUGCCCGAAGAGGAGCUCGCGUCUGAUUAGCUAGUUGGUGAGGUAAGAGCUCACCAAGGCAGCGAUCAGUAGCUGGUCUGAGAGGACGAUCAGCCACACUGGGACUGAGACACGGCCCAGACUCCUACGGGAGGCAGCAGUGGGGAAUUUUCCGCAAUGGGCGAAAGCCUGACGGAGCACACCGCGUGAGGGAGGAAGGCUCUUGGGUUGUAAACCUCUUUUCUCAGGGAAGAAGCUCUGACGGUACCUGAGGAAUCAGCCUCGGCUAACUCCGUGCCAGCAGCCGCGGUAAUACGGAGGAGGCAAGCGUUAUCCGGAAUUAUUGGGCGUAAAGCGUCCGCAGGUCGCGAUUCAAGUCUGCUGUCAAAGCACGGGGCUUAACUCCGUAAAGGCAGUGGAAACUGAAUAGCUAGAGUGCCGUAGGGGUAGAGGGAAUUCCCGGUGUAGCGGUGAAAUGCGUAGAGAUCGGGAAGAACAUCGGUGGCGAAAGCGCUCUACUGGACGGCAACUGACACUCAGGGACGAAAGCUAGGGGAGCGAAUGGGAUUAGAUACCCC
rnacentral:rRNA from 1 species